rnacentral:lncRNA from 1 species
AAAGACACUUCAGUUAACUGUGGAAAUGUCACAUCCAAAAGGUAAAAGAACACAUGAAAUCCAAAAAGCCAAUGAAAGUAAAUGCUUAAUUUAACCUGAAAUGAUUUACAAGUAUAAGUCACUGAUGUAGGCUAAUGGACUUAAACAUAAAUCUUAUAGCUCUUGGGAGAAGUAAAAUUAUAAUAGUUAUCAACAAAUUGUAUCUAAUUACAUUCAAUGAAAUCAGUAACAUUUUAUCAUUAUUAAAUAUGCAAUGAAAACCAUUAUACUUAGCCUUAUAUAAGCAUUUAUAUAUUUACAUAGAGUGGCAGAAAUGGGCUUAUUAUUAUUAAGUUUGAAAAUGACAGGUUUAAAAAUCCAAUUAUGGGAGAAAGGGGACGUCUUUUAGCUUUGCUUCUAUUAGAAUAUACUUUUAAUGUUUGAGAUUUCUCUUGAAUAAAUCCAACUCCGCAUUUCCUAGUUGAGCAACUAAGGAGUUGUUGAGCUGAUGGUUUCACAUUUUGUUCAUCAUUAAUUUACCAAAUACAUGCAAAUAAUGUGCCAAGGUACACAUUAUUUGUUCUUUCAGUUACAUCUACAAGGGAAAUCUCAUGGAAAAUGUUACUUUUGCAUAUUAUAUACUGUUUAGAAAUAAUUAUCUAUGUGUAACUCAAGUAAUUUUUUAAGAUAACUUUAAAAAAUAUAUAAAUUAUUAUGGUCAAUUGAGAAAUAAGUUAUUUAUGUAUGGAUGAAUCUAUAAUUAUUUUUAUUAAUUAAAAAUACAAUAUAAUUCCCACUUAAAAAUGCUUAGUCCAUUAAUAUUUUAGAGAUAUUAUUUAUUCUUCAGAGCUUCAGUAUACAUAUAAUCUCGUAAUAAAUCCAGAAUAAUCCCUAAGUCCUACUCUUAUGAUUGGAAGAUACUAAAAUUGUAACAAGAAUUCAAAAUUGUUUAAUAAAUUAUAAAUAUGCUUAUUACAUAAUGUUAUUGCAAGAAGUAUUUUGGUAGACUACCUGAAGGAUGCCCUGUAGUCAUUAUCUUCUCAGCAGUAUGUUUUGUGCAAAAUGUGAUUCAGACCCUUAACGAGUUUUAUAGGAGAGUAUUUAACUCAAAAGAUGCACUAUAUACACUGUCACCUUAGUCACAACAUCAACUGACUGGGCCAAACAUUUUAGGGUAACUUCAUUUUCAAAAUAAUUACUCAUUAAGUAUUUGCACUUGUCUGACUUUACAUCAGGAUUUCAGGUAAUGGUUUAAUUAUCUGGCCAAGCUUGUCUCAUUCCACUCUGGUUAAAGGGCAGACAGAAAUGAUUAAAAUAUAGGGAUAAGGCCUGAAAGGGAUUCAUUAACAUUAGUUUGUCUCCUUAAAUUAAUUGAGGCUCUCCUAUUUAAAGCAGUCACAUGUUUAAUAUCUUAGAAUAUCCAGUAAUUUGUUUUCUUUCUUAAAGAAGAUACAGAAAGAAAUAAAAGGGGAUUCCAAGAAACUUCAGCUCUGGCUUUCAGGUGCUGUUACUAUAUUCUAUCAACUUGUGUAGGUAUUUAGAUUCACUGAUAAACUUGUAAUUUUUUUAAAAAAUAAAAACAUAACUAUUUCCAUUACUUUUAUUUGUACUCAACAGAAUUAGGAAUAUAGGUUCCUGCAUUUUUUAUUUUUUUCCUGCAUUGUUUAAAAAAGAAUUUAUGAUUAAGAGAUCUUAGAACUUGAGAAUAUUAUUCAUAAACAUUGAUUAAUUAAAACAAUUUCAAUUGGGCAAGUAGAAUUGAAAGGUUCACUCUGUUUCUCUAUCAGCACAGAAAUAUAAUGGAGGUUCUUCAAACUAAAGUGGAAUGCUUGGCACUAUGGUGACAAAAGACUGAACCUCUGAGUGAAGCCUCUUGGCUGAGGACUGCUAUGGUCAGAACUUCACAGCACUGAGAGUGGCUGUCAGGUCAACAACGUGCUUUUCCAUUUUGUGAUGAUCUGAUCCACUUGGAGAGUAAACAGUUCUCAUAAGUAAACCACACACUUAAGAGUUUUUAGUAUUAACUCUUCUUAAGAAUUAGACUGCCCAUUUACUGAAUGCUAAUUAAAUAAUUAGCUACUCCUACAUUUCCAAGUAAGUGCCACAUUAGUGGUGUAAAAUAAUGCAUGUACUUCCUAAUGUGACAAUAUCAAGUUGUUAGUUUAAUCACCAAAGGACCAGAUUGAAAUGUAGGAAUGAAGAUAGAGACAUCUAUUUUUUUAAAAAUUCUGCUGGGAAAAAAGGAAUUGUUUUAAUUUAUUUUGUGUCUGUGAGGAACUAAAUUUGUCUUUCAAUAAAUUAAGGUUAACUACUAAAAUUCUCUAUUUUGGAGAAAAUUAUUUUUAUAAUCCAUUUUAUUUUAGCCUUAAACAUUCAUAUGAAGAUUUUUAAAAAUGAAGUAAUACUCCAAUUAUUUUCUGUGUUGAUUUAGACCAUUCCUCUGAUAAAACUAAACUUAUUUCAUGAGAGGGUUAUUUAACAGGGUUAUUAACCAUAUCCAAAGACAGUUUCACAGCACAAUAGAAAACUAAAAAGCAAAAUAAAGGAAUGGAUAAGGAAAAAAAGCUUUACGUUGAGAAAAUUGUUUGGAAUCAAGCUUUCUACAAAAUUAUUCUAAAACAUUGUCUUUCUAAUACCAUCUAAUAGGCCAUGUAAAAACAGUUUAGUUUCACACUGCUAUCCAUAUAUUUGUGUAAUUUUAUACACUGGACCAAUAGAUAAGUUACUACCCAGUUCACAAUUAAUCUACAUGGUUUCCUUCCAGAAACAUGUGGUCCCUCAAUAGAGUCCACUUAAUACCAUCAUAUAUGAAAUUUACCUUUCUUUAAUAAUGCAUGUUGGAAGGCAUUUUGUAAUCAAUAUCUGGAGAUAGUAUUUCAAGAUUUCCGUGCAUGUUAAAAGUGUCUGUGGUUUUCUACAAUUGUCUAACUAAAGAUGUAAUUCCCUCACAUAAUAAGUUUAGGUCUAAAGGGCUCCUUAGAAUGCUAUUUAAACUUUAACAUAAACCACGUAUAUAAUGACCAUUUGGACAUCUGUUCUAUUUUAUAGAAUGAAUCACUUCUACAUGUUAUUAGUAAUAAAAAUCAUCAAUGACAUAUAUAUGUAUAUAAUUACUUCACUCAUUUUACUGGACUAGGUUGAAAAGUACUUUUUGUCAAGCUAAGAAGAAAGUGAAAUCCUGAAGAAGUAAUAAUAAACAAGGCUAAGGAAGCCAUAAGAAGUUAGAUAAAUGAGGGGUGUAGAAAGCAGAUACUCGCUGCAGCACAUUUUAUUAUUUUUUUGAAAUCCCCUUCAAAUAUUUCAGACAUAGACUUCAAAAUUGAUGUCACAAACUCAUAUUGAUUCUAAGGGGUAUUCUUGCCCUGAUUAAGUAUAUCAGUGUCACUGUAAUAGUGAUCUGCCAAGCAGAUAAGUGUAGAAGAAAAAUAUUUUUAGCUAUUUCUUACAUUAAUUAUUCCCUUUAUUGCGUUAAAUGUAGCUUUUGCAAAGUCAGUUGAAAUGAAUUGCUUUCCAUUAAAAAAUAGAAGAGGAGGAAAAAGCAAUAAGGGACCACAUUUUUUCUAGAUGUUUAAACCAUAUUGGAGAACCAGAUGUGUUGACAAUGACGUUGCAUAGACUGAAAUAGGUUCAAGGUAAUGUGUUUGCCUUUGCCUUGUAUGCCUUAGCGAAAAUCUAGGUGAGAAAAUCCCUUCCCCAAAUAGCUUUUCUCAUAGUAAUGAGAUGACAGGGAAUUUGAUUCGGGCCUAGAAUGAAAAUGCUCACUUGAUCAACUUCCAGGACUUCUGAAAAACUUCCAAAAGUUUUUAUUCCUGGAAUUUCCCUCAAAUGAGUUAGGUUAUGAAAAUCCAUACUUUACUAACCUAGCAUUUAAGACUUACUUUUGUUAAUGAGAAUUUUGUUGAAAUGUCAUAUAAAACCAAAGCUUUAUUAUGGGAACUAACAUAUGUAAAUUUUUUCCAUUUAUUAUUAAUAAUUUUGGGCACAUUAAUCUAGUGCAAAGUAAGAUUUCCUUGUGAAAAGCAUGCUUAAUCCAGCCUAAGACAUUUAUUGCUUAUUCUUUACCCCUCCACAAAUAACUUAUCAUUAAAUUAUAUAGAUCUGGAUAUGCUUUUAUGCUUACUUUUAUGCCUCACUCAUAUUUACUUCUAGAUCAUAUUUCUUACAGUAUGAUUUCUCUGUUGGUGAGGUAUUAAAGUGUAUAUCUGAUAAAAUGUCAACCUAAGUAAACAGGGCAAAUUUAAAAAGUUUUAGUAAAGUUUAGUUUUAUUUUUCUGAUUUCCUGGAUUUGUGAACAUUGUUCUAAAGGACUGAUGAUACAGCUUCUUAGAUUUAGUCAUUGUCUGCCCACAAGAUAUUCAGGACAUAUGUAGUUUGUAGAACAAAUAACUUGCAGUAUUAUCUUUGGUCUGGUUUAAACACAUUCAAUUCCAUCUCACUUAAUAGGAUGAACACUUUAUUGUUGGCUAUGAUGGCAAUAGUAUAUGGAAUUAAUGCAGUUUAUCUGUCUUAACUACUGUGUAAUUGUGUUAGUGGAUUAUUAUCCUUAUAAGAAAGUAUCCAUUAGUUAUACUAAUUGAGUAUCCCUAAUCCAAAAAUCCGAAAUCCUAAAUGCUACAAUGUGCAUUUCCUUUGAGCAUCAUGUUGGCACUUAAGACAAUGUUUUUUGGAAAUGUUUUAGAUUGCAGGUUUUCAGAUUACGGAUGCUGAACUGGUGGUAAGUGUAACGCAAAUAUUCAAAAAAUCCAAAAAAAUCUGAAAUCCAAAACACUUCUGGUCCCAAAAAGGCCUGUGACCUCUUCACUGGAGUGCUCUCUUCAUACUACAUUAUAUAAAAUUUAAAUAUCAAGUGUUAAAAUGUCCAGAAUAUUUACCUGAAUGAGGCUGAGAGGUUUUUUCAUAGUCCUUAAUAAAUCUUAAUAUAGUUUAAAAACACUUAAAAAUUGUGUGACAAAAAGAAAUUGUGUAAAAAUAAGAACAUUCCUU